CAUUAAGAAGCUAUAAGCACAGCAACAGCCUUUUAAGCUGGAGACAGGUGAUUCCGACCACCCUUAAUGA
rnacentral:tRNA from 1 species